AUGAGAUGGGUUUUGCAGCUUGUAGAAGCGGGGGCUGAAGGCUGGUAUUCCAUCCUCUCUGAUUCUGUGCAGCCGCACCUCUCCGGCAUUCUUCCGCAAGAUCUGAAGCCCCAACGCCUUGUCUUGCAGCAUCUCAACCCACUCACCAGCAGUGCGACGAUGGCCACCGCUAUCAGUGCGGCUGUUUGGGCACUGCGCAAGGCGCUGGCUCCCAUUACGGAUGACUUGCCCAAGGAUUGGGCGGCCAGUGACAGUCUCGGCCCCAACAUCAACGCCCUCAAGAUGGAGCUGCUGCGCGUGCAGGGGAUCCUCUACAACGCGCACGACAGGGAAAUCACCAACCCUGCACUCCAGGACCUGCUGCACAUGUUGCGGCAGCUGGCGGACGGGGCCGAAGACGUGCUUGACGAACUGGACUACUUCCGCAUCCAGGACAAGCUCGACAGCACAUACCAUGCAGCCGAUAAGCAUGCCAAGGGCUGCACCCAUGGCCUUGCUCUCAAUGCGCGGCACACGGCCAGAGCCGUUGCCAACAAAUUCAAGUUCUCCUCGGGCGGCAACAAGCAGACACCAAAAUUGAAGUUUGAUCGUGUGGAUAUGUCUAAAAGGAUGGCAGACAUUGUACAGCAGCUGGAUCCUAUAUGUGCUAAGGUGAAAGAAAUCCUUGAUCUAGAGCUCCGCAACCAGAAACCUGCCCAAGGUAACAACAGACCAAAAACCACGUCAGCAAUAAUAGAGCCAGAGUUAUUUGGGAGGAAUGUUCAGAAAAAGAACAUUGUGGAUGACAUUACCCAUGGAAAAUAUUACGCCAAUGGACUUACCGUGCUUCAAAUUGUUGGCCCAGGGGGUAUUGGGAAGAUGACUUUCACACAACACGUAUAUCAAGAGGUGAAUAUCUUGUUUGAUAUUAUGAUUUGGAUCUGUGUUUCUCUUAAUUUUGAUGCAAAUAGAUUGACACAAAAGAUUGUGAAAAAGAUCCCUAAAGUUAAUGCUGAAAACGAGAAUGCUAUUGAAGGAGAGCUCAUCGAACAAAGAUUAAAACAUAAGAGAUUCUUGCUAGUUUUGGAUGAGUGGAAAAAACUGUUAGCUCCGUUCAGAAAAGGAGAGGCAAGAGGUAACAUGGUUAUUGUCACAACUCGAAUCCCAGAGGCAGUAACAAUGGUAAAAACAGUGGAUUAUUCAAUAGAACUCAAUCGCUUAGGAACUGAAGAUUUUAUGCAUUUGUUUGAAGCAUGUGUAUUUGGUCACGAACAGCCAUGGAAAGACUAUCCUGAAUUACUUGGUGUUGGAAAAUCAAUAGUGGGGCAUCUGAAGGGUUUCCCUCUUGCAGCAAAAACUGUAGGUAGAUUACUUAGAAACCAGCUUUCAUUGGACAAUUGGACAAGAGUUCUGGAAAGCAAAGAAUGGGAGUUACAAACCAGUGACUAUGACAUUAUGCCAGCUCUAAAGCUUAGUUAUGAUUAUCUCCCUUUCCAUCUACAACAAUGUUUUUCCUAUGGUGCUUUGUUUCCUGAAGAUUAUGAGUUUGGUGGCACAGAGUUGGUUCAAUUAUGGAUAGGGCUGGAUAUUUUAGAUUCAUGUGAUGAGAGGAAAAGACUUGAAGAUGUUGGGUUGUGCUAUUUAAAUGACUUGGUUAAUCGUGGAUUUUUUAAGAAGAAUGAAAAAGAAGAUGGCAGCUCUUGUUAUGUUAUGCAUGACCUACUGCAUGAGUUGGCAGUGAAGGUCUCCUCAUCAGAGUGUCUUAGCAUAUCUAGUUCUAAUGUGAGAUAUAUACAAUCUCCCCCAUCUGUACGUCACCUGUCUAUCAUUAUAGGUGACAGAGAUGUCAAUGAUAGAAUGACCUUUGAAGAUUUCAAGAGGGACUUGAGUACACUGGAUGAAAAACUGAAAAUUGAAAACCUGAAAACUUUGAUGUUAUUUGGAGAAUACCAAGGAUGCUUUGCCCAGACUUUGGGUGUUUUGUUUGCAGAAGCAAAAUCCCUCCGUGUUAUUCUUUUGUCUGGUGCAUCUUAUAGGUAUGUUGUGGAGGAUGUGUUUCGCAGUCUUCCAAGACUUAUUCAUCUUCGUUACCUAAGGAUAACGCCUUUUGCAAGACUAAACAGCAACAUCUCAAGAUUUUAUCACCUGAGGGUUCUAGAUGUUGAACAAUACAGUGUCCAACUAGAUUUUCCAAGAGAUAUGAGCAACCUUACAAAACUGCGCCAUUUUCUUGUCCGAGACAUUGACCUGCAGUAUAUAAAUUCUGACGUUGGAAAACUGGAAUUAUUACAAGACUUAAGAAGCUUUAUGGUUAAAAGGGAAAUAUAG
rnacentral:rRNA from 1 species